rnacentral:lncRNA from 1 species
CAUGCAUCUAGACUUCCUUCCCAACCUCUUUUGAAAAAAUUUUGUGAGACUUUUGCUGCUGAUUCUUAGGCAUCAAAGGGAGGCUCUCUUGCUGGUUUUACAGCAAAAAAUUGGAGAAAAAAAAUUUUUUUCAAUGAAAGAAAGAGGAAAAAGAAGAAUGGUCUUCUUUCUUGUACACAGUCUUGAAGAAGGAGUUCUUCUCAUAGAUUUUUUUUUAUUUUUUUUUAAGAUGAAAAUUAGAUUGGAUCUGAUUUUUAAUAUAAAAAUUUAGAAAAAAAAUAUCAAAAAAAAUUUG